rnacentral:rRNA from 1 species
AUUGAACGCUGGCGGCAGGCCUAACACAUGCAAGUCGAGCGGAUGAAGGGAGCUUGCUCCUGGAUUCAGCGGCGGACGGUUGAGUAAUGCCUAUGAAUCUGCCUGGUAGUGGGGGAUAACGUCCGGAUACGGGCGCUAAUACCGCAUACGUCCUGAGGGAGCAAGUGGGGGAUCUUCGGACCUCACGCUAUCAGAUGAGCCUAGGUCGGAUUAGCUAGUUGGUGGGGUAAAGGCCUACCAAGGCGACGAUCCGUAACUGGUCUGAGAGGAUGAUCAGUCACACUGGAACUGAGACACGGUCCAGACUCCUACGGGAGGCAGCAGUGGGGAAUAUUGGACAAUGGGCGAAAGCCUGAUCCAGCCAUGCCGCGUGUGUGAAGAAGGUCUUCGGAUUGGAAAGCACUUUAAGUUGGGAGGAAGGGCAGUAAGUUAAUACCUUGCUGUUUUGACGUUACCAACAGAAUAAGCACCGGCUAACUUCGUG